GUGCAAGUUGAUUAGUAGACUUCCUCAUGCCCAACCUGAAAAAAAGUGAAAGAAAGGAGGCCCACAUCAGGUGGACAAGCAAAGCCUGCUGUCUCUCACACUGGCAAUGUGUAAAGUUGAAAGAAUCAAAAAAUGACCUUCCUUAUUACAGGGAUGGGCAGUGCACAUGGUUGAACAAGACUUUUAGAAUGGAAAAGAGUCUUCUGUGCAUUCUCAGCAAUGGGAGUAGACAUUCACAGCAUAGGUACUAUGUCUCACUUUACUUGCCUCUGCAUAGCCAACUUCCCUCCUUUUAAUUAUAGAGGCUAAAAGCAUCUAAGUCCCUUGAUAGAAGUAGAACCUUCUUAGUGUAUAUUCAUUUUAUGCCUCUUCAUCUACUCUGGAGAAUUCUGACUGCUUCAAGAUUUGUAAGGUACUCAGAUGUUUUCUACAGACCAACACUUGGAAAUUUGGAAGAUGUCUUCUAUUGAUAGGACAUCACCUCAGCAAACGUUUUUCCAAGAUAGUGAAAACUAAUUCUAACAGACACAGCCUAUAUUAGGCUGUCAUGAGAAUUCCUACCUCAAAAGACCAGAAGAUGGUUUACAUUGAACUUCUGCUAUUUUUAUAUUUAAUUCUCAGGAAGGAGAUUUUCAGAAAACUAAUUUAGGUUACCAGGGAUAUCAAUUAGAUACAAAUACAGAAAAAAAAUACAUAUUUUUAAACAGAGCUGUCCAGAAAACAGAAAAAGCCAAAUUCCAUUUAUUGAAUGUCUCUAGAGGAUCACCUACUUGAUCCUAUUUUGGAUCUUUGGCCAUUCUUGAGCCAUGAAGCCAUUCUAGGUAUGGUGGCCACAACGAUAAUACUGUGC
rnacentral:lncRNA from 12 species